GUCAACAUGUCCGAGUGGUUAAGGAGACACAUUAGAAAUGUGUUGGGUUCGCCCGCGCACGUUCGAGUCGUGCUGUUGACG